GACUCCAUGGCCAAAUGGAUAAGGCAAGUCUAUGGAACCAGAGAUUCUGGGUUUGAUCCCCAAUGGAGUCG
rnacentral:tRNA from 1 species